UACGUAGGGUGCGAGCGUUGUCCGGAAUUACUGGGCGUAAAGAGCUCGUAGGUGGUUUGUCACGUCGUCUGUGAAAUUCCGGGGCUUAACCUCGGGCGUGCAGGCGAUACGGGCAAUACUUGAGUGCUGUAGGGGAGACUGGAAUUCCUGGUGUAGCGGUGAAAUGCGCAGAUAUCAGGAGGAACACCAAUGGCGAAGGCAGGUCUCUGGGCCGUUACUGACGCUGAGGAGCGAAAGCAUGGGGAGCGAACGGGAUUAGAUACCCGGGUAGU
rnacentral:rRNA from 1 species